AGUCCUAAUAUAUAGUGUUCCUUUAAAGCCAAUUUGUUAGAUGUAGAUUCAUUAGUUUUAGUUUUGUUAUUGAGAAUGCAAAACCUAUAACUAAUCAAUUCAAUUGCAUUGUAGGUUGCUUUCUAUGCAAGACAUUGGAUCCAACCGCAUGAAGAAGAAGCACUUCAUGUGUGAUGGUUGCUAGCGGAGCUCUUUGGAAUGCUUCUAUAUUCCAUCUUGCAGGAUCAUCCAUUGAAGAGGUGAAGAGAGUACGGUAGAAAGAUUCGAGUUUUAUUCCACCUUUUAUCUAUCGAUUCAUGGGUAACUCAAGAGACAUUGCAAUCGGGCAUGUGGCAGUAGUAUCACUAUUGUUUUGAUCCAUGCUACGAGACGAGCUUAUACCAAUUACACAAGAACAUGAAUAUUUACGUAUUGCUUUCAUGGCAACAUUCUUUGCUGGAGUCACUCAAGUUACAUUCCGCAUUUUCAGGUAGGCAUCAAGUUGAAAACAAAUAAAAAUGUUUUCAUUUUGAUCGAAAGGGCUGUUAUGGUUUUGGUGUUUGGCCUUCUUACCUAUUGGGUUUUCUAAUCUAUUGAGUAGAUAUGGUAAAACGAGCGAGUUGGUCAGGUUGGGCGAAGGUUAUC